AUUGAACGCUGGCGGCAGGCCUAACACAUGCAAGUCGAGCGGAAACGAAGGGAGCUUGCUCCCAGGCGUCGAGCGGCGGACGGGUGAGUAACACGUGAGAAUCUGCCCAUUAGUGGGGGACAACUCGGGGAAACUCGAGCUAAUACCGCAUAAUCCCUACGGGGGAAAGCAGGGGCCCUUUUGGCCUUGCGCUGAGGGAUGAGCUCACGUCGGAUUAGCUUGUUGGGGAGGUAAAGGCUCACCAAGGCGACGUUCCGUAGCUGGUCUGAGAGGAUGAUCAGCCACACUGGGACUGAGACACGGCCCAGACUCCUACGGGAGGCAGCAGUGGGGAAUCUUGGACAAUGGGGGCAACCCUGAUCCAGCCAUGCCGCGUGUGUGAAGAAGGCCUUCGGGUUGUAAAGCACUUUCAGCAGGGAGGAAGGCUUUGGCCGAAUAGGUUGAAGUACUUGACGUUACCUGCAGAAGAAGCACCGGCUAAUUUCGUGCCAGCCGCCGCCGUAG
rnacentral:rRNA from 1 species